AUUGAACGCUGGCGGCAGGCCUAACACAUGCAAGUCGAACGGUAGCACAGAGAGCUUGCUCUCGGGUGACGAGUGGCGGACGGGUGAGUAAUGUCUGGGAAACUGCCCGAUGGAGGGGGAUAACUACUGGAAACGGUAGCUCAUACCGCAUAACGUCGCAAGACCAAAGUGCGGGACCUUCGGGCCUCACACCAUCGGAUGUGCCUAGAUGGGAUUAGCUAGUAGGUGGGGUAAUGGCUCACCUAGGCGACGGUCCCUAGCUGGUCUGAGAGGAUGACCAGCCACACUGGAACUGAGACACGGUCCAGACUCCUACGGGAGGCAGCAGUGGGGAAUAUUGCACAAUGGGCGCAAGCCUGAUGCAGCCAUGCCGCGUGUAUGAAGAAGGCCUUCGGGUUGUAAAGUACUUUCAGCGGGGAGGAAGGCGGUGAAGUUAAUAACUUCACCGAUUGACGUUACCCGCAGAAGAAGCACCGGCUAACUCCGUGCCAGCCGCCGCAGUAA
rnacentral:rRNA from 1 species